rnacentral:lncRNA from 7 species
CUGUUUCCAGUUCUUUCCGUUCUUUCCGUUCUUUCCGUUGUUUCCGUUUGUUGUUUUUGAACUGUCACCUAAUUUUCUGCCCUAUGUUUCUGUCUCUGUGGAGGUUCUUUUCCGUUCUUUCCGUUCUUUCCGUGCUAGUUGUGUUUUUGAACUGUCACCUAAUUUUCUGCCUGUUUCUGUCCUGUGGAGGUUCUUUCCGUUCUUUCCGUUCUUUCCGUUCUUUCCGUUCUUUUUGACUGUCCUAUUCCGUUCUUUCCUGUGUUCUUUCCGUCUCGUUCUCCGUUCUUUCCGUUCUUUCCGUUCUUUUUGUUGUUUUUGAACUGUCACCUAUUUUCUGCCCUAUGUUUCUGUCUCUGUGGAGGUUCUUUCCGUUCUUUCCGUUCUUUCUUUGUUUGUUUUUGAACUGUCACCUAAUUUUCUGCCUAUGUUUCUGUCUCUGUGGAGGUUCUUCCGUUCUUUCCGUUCUUUCCGUUCUUUCCGUUUUUUCCGUUUUUUGAACUGUACCUAAUUUUCUGCCCUAUGUUUCUGUCUCUGUGGAGGUUCUUUCCGUUCUUUCCGUUCUUUCCGUUCUUUCCGUUCUUUCCGUUCUUUCUGUUGUUGUUUUUGAACUGUCACCUAAUUUUCUGCCCUAUGUUUCUGUCUCUGUGGAGGUUCUUUCCGUUUCCGUUCUUCCGUUCUUUCUGUUUUUUGUUUUUUUCCGUUUUUCCGUCUUUUCUUUCGUUCUUUCCGUUCUUUCCGUUCUUUUUGUUGUUUUUGAACUGUCACCUAAUUUUCUGCCCUAUGUUUCUGUCUCUGUGGAGGUUCUUUCCGUUCUUUCCCGUUCUUUCCGUUCUUUCCGUUGUGUUUUUGAACUGUCACCUAAUUUUCUGCCCUAUGUUUCUGUCUCUGUGGAGGUCUUUCGUUCUUUUGUUCUUUCCGUUCUUUCCGUUUUUUUUGUUGUUUUUGAACUGUCACCUAAUUUUCUGCCCUAUGUUUCUGUCUCUGUGGGCGUUCUUUCCGUUCUUUCCGUUCUUUCCGUUCUUUCUGUUGUUGUUUUUGAACUGUCACCUAAUUUUCUGCCUAUGUUUCUGUCUCAGUGGAGGUUCUUUCCGUUCUUUCCGUUCUUUCCGUUCGUUUUGUUUUUGAACUGUCACCUAAUUUUCUGCCCUAUGUUUCUGUCUCUGUGGAGGUUCUUCCGUUCUUUCCGUUCUUUCCGUUCUUUUUGUUCUUUUUGAACUGUCACCUAAUUUUCUGCCCUAUGUUUCUGUCUCUUUGGAGGUUCUUUCCGUUCUUUCCGUUCUUUCCUUCUUUUUUGUUGUUUUUGAA